GCGGGGCACCGCGGAGCUUCCAGUGUGUUUGGGAGUAUGGUGGCGGCGGCGGUGUGGAGCGGCCAGGAGGACCAUCCAUCAGCUCUCGAGUCAGCGUCGCCUUCAGGAGCCCCUUUGCGCUUUCCGGCCCCGUAACGCCGCCCUCAGCCGAGGCCGCUUCGCCCCUGUCGACCUAAGCUCCGCCCCCUGGCAGCAAUGACGUCGAGCAGCUGAUGGGUCGAGGACACACAGUCAGGCGGGGAUGCGUCUGGUGCGGCGCCGCGGCCUGGCGUGGCGGGAGGCGGCCCUGAAGGCGGCGGCGCAGAACCCCCCUUCUUCAACGGACAAAUGGAACAGCCUCCUGCACCAGCUCAAGGCCGCCCGCACGUGCGACAACCCUGCGUGCAAGGGGGCCACCCGCCCCAGGACCACAUUCC